rnacentral:SRP_RNA from 2 species
GCCGGGCGUGGUGGCUCACGCCUGUAAUCCCAGCAUUUUGGGAGGCUGAGGCAGGUGGAUCACUUGAGGUCAGGAGUUCGAGACCAGCCUGGCCAACAUGGUAAAACCCUGUCUCUC